CCUGGCUCAGGACGAACGCUGGCGGCGUGCCUAAUACAUGCAAGUCGAACGCUUCUUUUUCCACCGGAGCUUGCUCCACCGGAAAAAGAGGAGUGGCGAACGGGUGAGUAACACGUGGGUAACCUGCCCAUCAGAAGGGGAUAACACUUGGAAACAGGUGCUAAUACCGUAUAACAAUCGAAACCGCAUGGUUUUGAUUUGAAAGGCGCUUUCGGGUGUCGCUGAUGGAUGGACCCGCGGUGCAUUAGCUAGUUGGUGAGGUAACGGCUCACCAAGGCCACGAUGCAUAGCCGACCUGAGAGGGUGAUCGGCCACAUUGGGACUGAGACACGGCCCAAACUCCUACGGGAGGCAGCAGUAGGGAAUCUUCGGCAAUGGACGAAAGUCUGACCGAGCAACGCCGCGUGAGUGAAGAAGGUUUUCGGAUCGUAAAACUCUGUUGUUAGAGAAGAACAAGGAUGAGAGUAACUGUUCAUCCCUUGACGGUAUCUAACCAGAAAGCCACGGCUAACUAC
rnacentral:rRNA from 1 species